rnacentral:piRNA from 1 species
UCUGCAUGCCCCGCACCCUACACACACUCC